CGGGGAGUUGAAAAUAAGCAUAGAUCCGGAGAUUCCCAAAUAGGUCAACCUUUUAAACUGCCUGCUGAAUCCAUGAGCAGGCAAGAGACAACCUGGCGAACUGAAACAUCUUAGUAGCCAGAGGAAAAGAAAGCAAAAGCGAUUCCCGUGUGAGCGGCGAGCGAAAUGGGAGCAGCCUAAACCGUGAAAACGGGGUUGUGGGAGAGCAAUACAAGCGUUGUGCUGCUAGGCGAAGCGGUUGAGUGCCGCACCCUAGAUGGCUAAAGUCCAGUAGCCGAAAGCAUCACUAGCUUAU
rnacentral:ncRNA from 1 species